rnacentral:rRNA from 1 species
CCAAUAGCGUAUAUUAAAGUUGUUGCAGUUAAAAAGCUCGUAGUUGAAUUUCGGGGUUAGUAGGUUGGUCAUGCCUCUGGUAUGUACUGGUCUCACUGAUUCCUCCUUCCUGAUGAGCCGUAAUGCCAUUAAUUUGGUGUUGCGGGGAAUUUGGACUGUUACUUUGAAAAAAUUAGAGUGUUUAAAGCAAGCUAACGCUUGAAUACAUUAGCAUGGAAUAAUGAAAUAGGACGUUCGAUCCUAUUUUGUUGGUUUCUAGGAUUGACGUAAUGAUUAAUAGGGAUAGUUGGGGGCAUUAGUAUUUAAUUGUCAGAGGUGAAAUUCUUGAAUUUAUUGAAGACUAACUACUGCGAAAGCAUUUGCCAAGGAUGUUUUCAUUAAUCAAGAACGAAAGUUAGGGGAUCGAAGACGAUCAGAUACCGUCGUAGUCUUAACCAUAAACUAUGCCGACUAGGGAUCGGAUGAUGUUAAUUUUUUAAUGACUCAUUCGGCGCCUUACG